UACGAAGGGUGCAAGCGUUACUCGGAAUUACUGGGCGUAAAGCGUGCGUAGGCGGUUCGUUAAGUCCGUUGUGAAAGCCCUGGGCUCAACCUGGGAAUGGCAGUGGAUACUGGCGAGCUAGAGUGUGAUAGAGGAUGGUGGAAUUCCCGGUGUAGCGGUGAAAUGCGUAGAGAUCGGGAGGAACACCAGUGGCGAAGGCGGCCAUCUGGAUCAACACUGACGCUGAGGCACGAAAGCGUGGGGGAGCAAACAGG
rnacentral:rRNA from 1 species